UUUGCCAAGAACUUGCAACUUGCAGCGUGUCCUGUGAAAUAAGAUGGUACGCCCUUGGGUCAGGAAGCUUUGCAGGGCAUUGCUGCGGGGCCCUCUGGUUGACAAUUUGACCUGCCAGGGUAAAAAUCAGGAGGGCAAGCCCAGCAGUAGAGGCUGUGAAACCUUGCAGGAAGCGAUCAGUGCCAGUAAGACUCACUUUUACCACAUCUGACUGUGAAGGGGAUCCCUGAAGUCCACCCAGAAGUAGAGGCUGAAAUGUCUCUGCAAGUCAAAUGAGAAGGGGAGAGGAGUGGAGAAGUCAGGAAGACCUGGGGUGAAUUGACAUGGAACCAUUUGGGAAGCUUUUCCUAGUUGCAAGCAAGCUGUAUGAUUUCAGCUCAUAGCUUUGUGGUACGAAGCAAGUGGAGUGCUUAAUGUUUGGAGAGGCAGCCUCAUCUGUCACCGCAGCUCUGGAGGACUUGUGAAACCCGAGCAGCUGGAUGGCGAAAACUGCUUUAAAUGUAGCAAGAAAGAUGAUUACUGACGACAUAAUACUAGAUCCUGCGUGAAUGUGUUGCAUGUCAUUGAGCAUGAGUUAUCUUUUCCCAUAGAUUAGAUGCACAAUAAUGAGACUCAGUUGUGGGUUUUUAAAAAAAUUUUUUAAAUUCAGUUCUUAUGGAACUGAGUAGCCUUAAAAUAGUGUAAGGAUGUGUGAUACCUGAAAGCUUGUCUGGCUUUCUGGGGGGAAAAAGGGUGCAUUUCAAGGGUGCAUCACACUUGGCUCUGUGCUUGGUUUCAAGAUGUGAAAAGAUGGUCUGCUCCGACAGAGCUGCUUUGGCUGAGAAGAUUCCUGCCAUCCAUUACACGUUGCUUUAGGGAAAACCAAGUGUUCAUGAUCCCCAAAGAUGUAUUUAUACACCUCUAGCCCCUGGUCUUUGAAGGCUAUUUCAUGAAGUACUUCAGGAUCAUUUCUGAGCCCUCUUGGUCUCUCCUUAGGUUGUGGAAUAUCCAAGUACUUGGAUCUUUGGUCAUGCACAUCACAGGCAGCUGGAGAACCGCUCCUCUACACCUUAUAUGCUGUUCUGGUACAUAGCAGUAGCAGCUGUCAUGGGGGACACUAUUUCUGCUACACAAAGGUAAACAGCAUCUUCCUUCCUAGCAGGGGAAAAAUGUGGGCUGAGGAAGACAAACUUUCACGGCAGUGUUACUGGCAGCCAAGGUUUUGGAGGAGAAGGUCUCCUUACGGGAGAUUGGAUUUGUUUUGGCAUGCUCUUGGUUCUGCAGUUUUUCUGCCUGGGUUUUUGUGGAGAAACCAUGCAGUUCACCUCCAGAUAUCGAAGCCUUUCUUUGCAGACCAGCAAUGGACUGUGGUAUGAGAAGAAUGAUACAUCUGUGGUUCUUUGUGACAUCAACAACAAGCAACAACACUUCGUGACAUCAGGCAGCAAGCUUAUCUGUUGUUUAAUGUCGGGUAAUAACAAUUAUUAAAGUGUAUUUAGGAUAUGUUUCCUU